UACGUAGGGGGCAAGCGUUGUCCGGAAUCAUUGGGCGUAAAGCGCGUGUAGGCGGCUGAGUAAGUCUGCUCUGAAAGCCCGGGGCUCAACCCCGGGAGGCGGGUGGAUACUGCUCAGCUCGAGUCCGGAAGAGGAGUGUGGAAUUCCUGGUGUAGCGGUGAAAUGCGCAGAUAUCAGGAGGAACACCGGUGGCGAAGGCGGUUCUCUGGGCCUUACCUGACGCUGAGGAGCGAAAGCAUGGGGAGCAAACAGG
rnacentral:rRNA from 1 species